rnacentral:rRNA from 1 species
GCAUAACGCGAAGAACCUUACCAGGUCUUGACAUCCUCUGACACUCCUAGAGAUAGGACGUUCCCCUUCGGGGGACAGAGUGACAGGUGGUGCAUGGUUGUCGUCAGCUCGUGUCGUGAGAUGUUGGGUUAAGUCCCGCAACGAGCGCAACCCUUGAUCUUAGUUGCCAGCAUUCAGUUGGGCACUCUAAGGUGACUGCCGGUGACAAACCGGAGGAAGGUGGGGAUGACGUCAAAUCAUCAUGCCCCUUAUGACCUGGGCUACACACGUGCUACAAUGGAUGGUACAAAGGGUCGCAAAACCGCGAGGUCGAGCCAAUCCCAUAAAACCAUUCUCAGUUCGGAUUGUAGGCUGCAACUCGCCUACAUGAAGCUGGAAUCGCUAGUAAUCGCGGAUCAGCAUGCCGCGGUGAAUACGUUCCCGGGUCUUGUACACAC